ensembl:lincRNA
AGAAUGUCCAAUAAAAAGUUAUGAACUUCAAUCAAAUAAAAAUUUCACUUAAGAAUCCAAGGGGCAUCCUAAGGCAAUGUCCAGCCUUUGGACAUUUAAUGCUUUUGUAUCCUGAGUAUUUCAGUUGCAUGACAAGCCUCACAAAUUGUUGAUACUGAUGAGAGAUAGUUCACAUGAUUUUAGCAUACUCUUUAAGAACAUUCAUAUAUUAAAAUAUCCCUCAAGGUUACUUCUUGUUUCAUUGACAACUUUGGCUGCUUCCAUGGGAUUUCCAGAAGUUGCAUUCUUCUUUGAAGGCAUUCAACACAACUCACUCACUGGAAACUGCUUUCCUGGACAAAAUUCAAAAUGUGCUAUCUUUAUUAAACACAUUUGUAUCCUAAAAGCUUGGACAAGACCACAAGAAUCUAAGGAUAACCAGUUCAGUUCAGUCGCUCAGUCAUGUCUGACACUAUGCAACCCCAUGGGCUGCAGUACGCCAGGCCUCCCUGUCCAUCACCAACUCCCGGAGUUUACUCAAACUCAUGUCCAUUGAGUCAGUGAGGCCAUCCAGCCAUCUCAUCCUCUGUCGUCCCCGUCUCCUCCCACCUUCAGUCUUUCCCAGCAUGAGGGUCUUUUCCAAUGAGUAAGUUCUUUGCAUCAGAUGCCCAAAGUACUGGAGUUUCAGCUUCAAUAUCAGUCCUUCCAGUGAACACCCAGGACUGAUCUCCUUGCAGAUGGACUGGUUGGAUCUCCUUGCAGUCCAAGGGACUCUCAAGAGUCUUCUCCAACACCAUAGUUCAAAAAGCAUCAAUUCUUCGGCACUCAGCUUUCUUCACAGUCCAACUCUCACAUCCAUACAUGACCACUGGAAAAACCGUAGCUUUGGCUAAACGGACCUUUGUUGGCAAAGUAAUGUCUCUGCUUUUGAAUAGGCUAUCUAAGUUGAUCAUAACUUUCCUUCCAAGGAGUAAGCGCCUUUUAAUUUCAUGGCUGGAAUCACCAUCUGCAGUGAUUUUGGAGCCCCAAAAUAUAAAGUCUGACACUGUUUGCACUGUUUCCCCAUGUAUUUGCCAUGAAGUGAUGGGACCAGAUGCCAUGAUCUUCGUUUUCUGAAUGUUGAGCUUUAAGCCAACUUUUUCACUCUCCUCUUUCACUUUCAUCAAGAGGCUCUUUAGUUCUUCUUCACUUUCUGCCAGAGGGGUGGUGUCAUCUGCAUGUCUGAGGUUAUUGAUAUUUCUCCCAGCAAUCUUGAUUCCAGCUUGUGUUUCCUCCAACCCAGCAUUUCUCAUGAUGUACUCCGCAUAGAAGUUAAAUAAGCAGGGUGACAAUAUACAGCCUUGAAGGACUCCUUUUCCUAUUUGGAACCAGUCUGUUCCAUGUCCAGUUCUAACUGUUGCUUCCUGACCUGCAUACAGGUUUCUCAAGAGGCAGGUCAGGUGGUCUGGUAUUCCCAUCUCUUUCAGAAUUUUCCACAGUUUAUUGUGAUCCACACAGUCAAAGGCUUUGGCAUAGUCAAUAAAGCAGAAAUAGAUGGUGCGGCCAAAUAGAUAAAAUAAACAGACUGGAUCAGGUCUUCCCUUUAGAAGUCCUCAUAUCCACACCCUCCAUAGUCCCCUAGACUGUUAACUCCAAUGAAGGCAGAGACCCCAUCGAUUUUCUUCAUCCUUUGAUUCAUCUCACUGAGCCCAGAGUCUGAC